rnacentral:rRNA from 1 species
UGGGGAAUAUUGCACAAUGGGCGCAAGCCUGAUGCAGCCAUGCCGCGUGUGUGAAGAAGGCCUUCGGGUUGUAAAGCACUUUCAGCGAGGAGGAAGGUGGUGAGCUUAAUACGCUCAUCAAUUGACGUUACUCGCAGAAGAAGCACCGGCUAACUCCGUGCCAGCAGCCGCGGUAAUACGGAGGGUGCAAGCGUUAAUCGGAAUUACUGGGCGUAAAGCGCACGCAGGCGGUUUGUUAAGUCAGAUGUGAAAUCCCCGGGCUCAACCUGGGAACUGCAUUUGAAACUGGCAAGCUAGAGUCUCGUAGAGGGGGGUAGAAUUCCAGGUGUAGCGGUGAAAUGCGUAGAGAUCUGGAGGAAUACCGGUGGCGAAGGCGGCCCCCUGGACGAAGACUGACGCUCAGGUGCGAAAGCGUGGGGAGCAAAACAGGAUUAGAUACCCUGGUAGUCCACGCUGUAAAACGAUGUCGAUUUUGGAGGUUGUGCCCC